CAUGCCUCCUGCGAGAAAGCAAUCCUAGAGCCCUCCCUCCUCCUUUCCAUCCACUCAUGUCAUGCCUCCUCCCCUUUCUCCCUAGCCGACGGUGGCUCCUCCCCGUGUGCCCACGGUCUCCAAUGCGCUCAACCCGGCCCACCUCAGUCCCCUCACCCUCUGGUCACCGUCCUCCCGUGCCCUCACCCGCUGGUGGCCCUCCCAUGCAUCUCGGGCUUGAUGGCUGCUUCCCCACCUCGCCCAUUCAGCUCCGCCAUCGCCUCCCUCCCUUGCUGAUAUCCAUCUUAUCUCCUUUUGCAGGGGCUUGUCCUUCCGUGGUGGUCAUACGCCGUUUGAGAUUGGAGGGAGACUAGGAGACCCUGGCGGAAGCGAGCCUGCUAGCAGAGGCUCCAGGGAUGCUGGGUGAUAGGGCCUAGUCCAUGCCCCGGUUGUGCUGCUGGGUGAUCUUAUUCAUCCUUCUUGUCAACGAGUUGUUCAUGUCUAGCGAGGUUCCUACAAUUUUUUGUUUAUUUUAGUUGACCUGAUGCUCAGAUUUAGCUAGGCUUUCAUAUAGGAUUUUUUUACCUUUUAAGUUUGUUGGGUACCUCAGAUAAGUUUCUGCAAAGGGAAUUUUUGUUUGUUCCUGCUCAGGAGAUGCUCUCUGACCUAGCUAGAUUCAUAAAAAUUGUUUUGUUUCUUAGUUUGUUUGGUAGCUUGCUCUUUCCUCGUCAAGAAGGGGAUCGAUUUGCCAUGGACCUCCUUUCCCCACUAUAAAAGAGGCUUUUGUUCCUUUGCUUGAUGUGUUUCCCUCUUUUCGAUUGUAGGAUUUUUAGGACGAGCCUUCCUAUCUAAAAUUAUCGGAUAAAUUCAACAUAUCUGUGGAAAUCUAGGUAUGAGAUGGUUUUUUUCUAUCUUGUGUUCUUACAUUUUAAUAGAAGUUGUCUGUAAUUUUGCCUUUAUACUGCACAUUAAUUCAUUCUUUUGGGUAGGUAACUAAACUCCUUUAAUUUUACUGAAUCAUUGAAGUUGUCUUUGCUAACCUGAGUUUUGCUUUGCAACAAUUUGAUUGCUUGUGUAUUUGUGUAGUUUUCUGCAGAUUCAUACGACUCUGAAUGUUAUUCCAUAACCGAUGACUCAAAGUGAUUAUACACUGAAACCGAAGCCUUUGGAAAAUGAAACAGAAACCUUACUUGAGAGCAGGCAGAGGCGUGGAACCAAUGGUAUGCUCUUGGAUCAAUAUUCUACAGUUAAACAACAUUCAUAUGUUCUGGCAUCUAUAGAUUUACAUUUGCCUUUUAACAGUCUAAUUACAUGUAAAAACUCCAUCCAUUCUGGUAUGUGAUACUGCAAGUGUACAUUAAGAAAGUAGCCUUUACGGUCUAGCUUCAGUAUCUGUAAAUCAUGGUUACGUACAUACUACAUAAAAAAUGGAGCAUCCUUAUACUACCAAAUUAUUUGCUUGAUCUGGUUGUUGGUUUCUGAAUACUCAAUUUCGUUCUUCUAUUUUACAGGUGAUGUUGUUGUUGCCUGCUCUUCUAAACUGCUGCUUGUUCAUCGUUUGCUGUUUUGCCUAUCAAGGUUUGUGCUUCCUCUUUAAGCUAUAUUUUCUUUUGAUUAUUGUUUUUGUCUGCAGUUUUCUUCUCCUCUGUGGCAACGUAUUUGGAUCAUGUUUCUCUCUCAAGCAUAUUGGUUGUCUCGCUUGAUCUUUGUACUAGCAGGAAGGUAACUACUCAAAGCAGUUGGCAAGACAAGCAUUCGAUGGAGCUCAAGCGUUGAUCUUGAAGGAAGGUAACUACUCAAAGGUAUGCACCUAUUCAUGUUGGAGCAGUUAAGUUUGCAAGGAUUUUCUGCUGGAGGGCAUGGUAUGUGCUUGCAAGAAGUUCUUUGUGAUCUGGUGACAUCUUUUGGCCUAUUGGGGAACUGGACAUGAUUUAUAUUGCGAAGUUCAAUGUAUGGAUGAAAACUUCCUUUCAUAUCUGUUAUGUAUAUUUUAUAUACAUGGCUUUUGUGUUCUAUCAUGUGUGUUCCUGCUGCAGAAUUUUGUAUGGAAAUUCACCAUGAGUUAGAAUGUAUGUAUUUUCAACUACAGCCAUUUUUUUCAAAAGUCAAAAGAAUUUCUGCAUGAUCACAUAUCAUGAUUAUAUUUUUUUACGAAACCUUUUAUCCCAAACAAGUUGGGGUAGGCUAGAUAUGAAACCCUUUCACGAGGACUUUCCAGGAGGUCACCCAUCCUAGUACUACUCUCGCCCAAAUGGGUUUCAUACCCAAAAGACUGG
rnacentral:lncRNA from 1 species